rnacentral:rRNA from 1 species
GGAUAAUCUACCCUUUGGAUUGGAAUAACCUGUCGAAAGACGGGCUAAUGCCAAGUAAGCUUACGAGUUCGUGAAGUUCUUGUAAGGAAAGAUGGUGCAAGCUAUCGCCGAAGGAUGAGUCUGCGUCCCAUUAGUUAGUUGGUGGGGUAAUGGCUUACCAAGACUAUGAUGGGUACCUGGUCUGAGAGGAUGACCAGGCACACUGGAACUGAAACACGGUCCAGACUCCUACGGGAGGCAGCAGUAGGGAAUAUUGCGCAAUGGACGAAAGUCUGACGCAGCCACGCCGCGUGAGUGAGGAAGGCCUUCGGGUUGUAAAGCUCUGUCAUUCGGGAAAAAUAGCCAUCCGGGGAAAGUUCGGGUGGUUUGAUGGUACCGAAGGAGGAAGCACCGGCAAACUCUGUGCCAGCAGCCGCGGUAAUACAGAGGGUGCAAGCGUUGUUCGGAAUUACUGGGCGUAAAGCGUGCGUAGUCGGUAUUGAGAGUCACGGGUGAAAUCCCCAAGCUUAACUUGGGAACUGCCUGUGAGACCUCAGUACUAGAGUGUGAGAGGGGAUAGUGGAAUACCCAGU